ensembl:lncRNA
AAUUAUAUCUGAAUUUUUUUUUUAGCAAUAAGACUAGAGAUAAUGUUCAAAUUUUGGAGGGAAUCUCUGCUUCAGUAGGAGCAACAUGUUUGUGUGACUCCUGUCAAAAUGACUUCACCUAAAGUAAGCAGUCUCGUGGGAUCAUGUUUAUCAGAAACGUGUUUUUCCUAGUUAUCUGUAUCCUGCUGAGUGUCUGACAACUCCACCCUUGAUGAGGGUGACGUUCCCCCCAUGGUGGUGGUUGAAAAGAUGAGGAUCCAAGUCCUUCCUCUGGUGGUGUUUGAAUUUCACUGAGUGGGAGGAGAAAAGGAAAGAUGAACAGAUACUGGACUUCAAGCAAUUGUGCGGUGUGGCUGUGUUAGAGAAGUGUCAGGCACGUUGAGAGUGUUCUGAGUGGUGGCAUCUUACUAAAGCAAUCCAAAGGACUACGGGUUUAAAUGAAAGAUAAAUGCAAUCUGUAGGGAAGGACUGUUGUGGUUAUUCCAGUGGCCCGUGCAGCAAGCCCUGGAGUAACCUUGAUCUUUGUCCUAGUUUCUGGCUUGUUCUCGUCCUACCUGAGUCUGAGCCUGGGAACUGGAGGAGUGGCCCUGGUGUGUUCACUCCUUUGAUUCUGGAACUUCCUUCUUGUCUCUCAAAAGUGUUUGUGACAUAGAAUUUCCAUUUUCUAAUAUAAAAAAUGUACAGAGUAUAUUUGUAUAUUUGUUUGAUAGAAGACCCUUAAAUGUUUGGAGACACCCACCUCAUCUCUAUGUAGGCAGUGGUCUCCAAACCUCUGCGCUCAUUGACCUCAUCAGUAAGACUUUCUAAGCAUGCCCCGCAAGGUAUUUAUUUAAACUCACACACACUGCUCCAAUGAUUUGUUAUUAAAAACAUAGCAAACAUAGAAAUUUACAGGGAAUAGUCUACUCGAUAGAGUUUAGAGUAUGGGGCAAGAAGGACUUAAAGGUAGCACGUAGAAGGCAGCAGUUGGUUAGAGAGUGUGUCUAUAUUGUUGGUGGGCAAGUAGAUGUAAAAUAGGCAUGGAAGCAUGAUUUUAGAUCAAGGUUAUUCAUUCAUUCAUUCUUAAGAGCCAUUUUUGGCUAGAAGAAAAGAGUGAAUAAUUAGAUGUUACCUUUAUAAGAACUCUUUUCAAUUCUGUUUUGGGGACCACUUGAUAUAGUACAUCUCUUAAAUUCCUGAAAAUUUUCUCAGUACGCUGAUUUAAGCAAAACAAGCAAAGAAAGGAGGGAGGGAAAAACCUCAAUAAUGCAAAUGCUGACUCUCAUGCCUGAGAAUUUCUGAAUCUGAAAAGCACGUUUUGAUAAUUCCUGGUAAUCAUCACCUCACUGAUUAUUUGUUUUUCUUCUAUUUGUUUAUUACCCCGUGUCUCCAAAUGUGUGGAAGAUGUACAGAUUUAGUGGAUAGCAUCUUGCUGAACGAGGGCCUCGAUAUGGAGGCGGCAUUCCAGUGUUUACUUCUGGACCUAUGAGUUCCUUUAGCACAGUUAUUGUUAGUAGUUUAUAAAGCCAUAUUUAAACUUGUACACUUGAUUGUAAGAUAGAUUUGAAUUGUGCACUAUGUUGAUUACUGUAUAUAAAUGUGGAGAUUCUGUAUAUUUGGUCUCAUUGCUGUAUGUAUUUGAUGUGUAUAUGAUAACUAAUGGAUAUGAAAUAGCUGGCUGUGAAUGUCUUUAUUCCAGUUUGCUUCUCUUUUGCAAAUUUGAAUGUUUAAACUUUACACCCAUGGGGAAAAUCUGAGAUAUUUUUUGCAUCUAAUAUAC